GGGCGGUUAGCUCAGGGGUAGAGCACUGCCUUCACACGGCAGGGGUCACUGGUUCGAUCCCAGUACCGCCCA
rnacentral:tRNA from 1 species